CUGCGAUGCAAAGAUGUUUCUGUUGUAUUUUUGUCAAGAACUUAUUGGUAUUAUAUUCAAAGAUAACCUUUCAAUUUACCUAGCCGUGAAGAAUGAUUUUACAUGUCCUAAAAAUUCAAUAAUGUGUACCAAAAGCCGUAUGUGCAUACACAUUUCAAACUUAUGCGAUGGCUUUAUACAUUGUCCACAUGGAGAUGAUGAAGAAAAUUGCGAACUGCCAAUUCUUUAUUUCAAAUGCAAUGCAACUCAUCAAAUAUCUUAUAAACGCAUUUGCAACAAUAUCAAUGAUUGCGAUAAUCGUAUUGAUGAAAUUAAUUGCGAGUUUGACACUUGUGCAAAGAAUGAAUUCAGGUGCGCAAGUGGUAAUUGCAUUACAAACGAUUAUCAGUGCGAUAAUUUUAGAGAUUGUUCAGAUGGUUCAGAUGAGAAUUGUGUUGUCUCUCCUGGAGAAUGUUUAGCUCCUAAAGAACAAUUUCAAUGUGAUGAUAAGUGUAUAUUUUUACAUAAUAUGUGUGACAGCGUAGAGCACUGCAAUGACGGCACUGAUGAAAAUCAAUUGCUCUGUCUUAAGAAAAGAGGAUUAGGAUUUGUACAGUUACAAAUUGAUGCAUAUACUUGUCAUGUAACUUAUGAUAAAUAUAAUCAGCUCUAUACAAAAGUCCAGUUUCCAUAUUACAAACUUAAGAAUUGUCAAGAACAACAAUGUGCCAAGGGACAAUAUCAAUGCGAAGAGAAUCGUUAUUGUAUUGACAUAUCAGAGGUUUGCGACAAUAUAAGUCAUUGUUAUUAUCAUGAUGACGAAAUUGGUUGUGAAAAUUUUUAUCCUGCCGGCUUUUUUAUAUGUCCGAAUAAAAAACUCCUGCCUAUCGAAUAUUUAUGUGAUGAUAAUCUCGAUUGUUCAGAUGACAGUGACGAGCGUCUUUGUGAAGACAAACCAAUUUGCCCACAACACUGCGAGUGUAAUCCCUUUUACGUUGUUGUUUGUUAUCAUUCUCUAUUGGUAGAUAAUUCAAAAGAUGUAUUUAUUGAAAACAUCAAUAGUCAAAAGUUUAAACGUUUACACUUUAGUAAUGUAAACAUUUACUAUCUCAAUCAAACGAGAAAUAUUCAUGUCAAUGCUAUGGAUUUCUUUAACACCAUAUGGAAACAAUAUUUUGAUAUUUCUUAUUUAUUUCCCAAUAUCGCGUUGCUUGUCCUUGAAAAGAGCCGAAUAAGCGAUUUAGGACAAAUCUUCAGACGGCAUAUGAAAAUGUUACAACAUCUAAAUCUUCGAGAUAAUCCAAUUCAAAAUGUUGAAAAAUUUUCAUUCGAAAUUUUCCCUCAACUUCGAUUUGUCGAUUUAAGCGAAACGAAAAUUGUAUCAAUUCAUCAAAAUCUUUUCAAGGGUUUAAAACAUUUGGAGAUUAUCUAUAUGAUGAAAUUAAAAAUUCGCUGGAUAAGUCCAAAGGCGUCUGUGGACUUAAUUGGACUUCAACAACUCCAUUGGAAUGAUUCAAUUAUUAAAGAAAAUCAAAUAAUUCAUGUUAUGAAGAAUCUAAAGAAUGUUGAAUAUGUGUACAGCAAUUACUACGUUACUUGUUGUUUUGUAUGGAAAUACUCGAAUUCUUUUCGUAAAUGUUUGCCUGACAAGUCAACAAUUAGUUCAUGUUCUAACCUUAUAGCCUCUAUUAACCUUCGCGUAGCAAUAUGGGUCAUUGGAGUCCUUUGUAUAACUCUUAAUAUGCUCUCUCUUCUAUUUAGACUGAUCAUCAACAAAAAGAAGAUAAACGCAUACUUUAUUUGUCUUUGCCUUUCGGAUGUUUGCUCUGGUAUUUAUUUGGUAAGUAUUGGAAUUGUUGAUCGAUAUUACAGUGGAAAUUUUAUGGAAUAUAACUACAAUUGGAUUUAUGGAAAUGUAUGCAAAUUAAUUGGAUCAGUAUUCAGUGGUUCCCUAAUUUUAUCUAGUACUUUAUUGCUCUCUAUAACACUUGAAAGAUAUCACGCUAUUUCGAACCCAAUAAAUCACCUUACUAAGACACAAAUUCGUCUGAGUAUUGGUAUUCCUUUUCUUCUUACUUUUAUAUUGAUGACAAUACCCAUUUCUAUCUAUCAAGUAAGUUUUACCGCUGAACAAGUAUUUGGAAACGACUAUUGAAAGAUGUGAAAAUUUUAGAAUUACUUUUCAAGAUCGGCAAUUUGCUUUUCGUUACACAUUAGCAGUGAAAAAGUGGAGGGAUGGUUCUUUUCCUUCCUCAUUUUUGGAAUAUUCACUUUAGCUGUUUGUUCAAUCAUAUUAAUCUUAUAUUUCAGACUAACAAUUAUUGUUAGAAACGUCAGAAAAGAUUUUCAGACAGGAAGAGACAAAAUACAAGAGAAAUUAAGGAUGAAUGCAAUCUUAAUUGCUCUAUCAAAUUGUUUAAGCUGGUUCCCCUUAUCAUUCCUAAGUGAAUAUACAGCAAUACUGUAAAAUCUAAACAAUCUAUCGUCUUUCUAAAGGUAUAUAUUCUACUUUCAAACAUGUGGAGAUAGACAGCGAAACGUAUAAUUGGCUGAUUGUUGCAUUUAUUCCUCUCAAUCCUACAUUGAAUCCAAUUAUCUAUACGAUUGGCGAAUUUCAAACAUUUCAAAAAUCGAAACGAAAGAAAAAACUAAACUUGAAACAGGAAAAUGUGAAGAGAAACGUGAAUACUGCAGUUGGGAAAAGUAGGUCUCUUACUCACAAC
rnacentral:misc_RNA from 1 species